AACUGUAAGAUUCUUUCAAAUAUUUUCUAUUAAGAAUGUAGUUGGUCUCUUAGUUUUUGUUUGAUUGUUUUAAUUUCUGAAUUAUUCAAUGGUUACCAAACACUAGUUGUCAUAAAAAGAUUUUCGUUCACCUUAUGAUGGCAGUACAUAGAUCACUCGAUGCAUGGUGAGACAUGAAUUCACAUUUCUACCACUUCGGAAUGUAUCAAUAUCCUACAUGUAAAAUGGACUAGAAGAUACUGAAAAUAUUAAUGGUUUUAUACAAUAUGGCAGUACAUAGAUCACUCGAUGCAUGGUGAGACAUGAAUUCACAUUUCUACCACUUCGGAAAGUAUCAAUAUCCUACAUGUAAAAUGGACUAGAAGAUACUGAAAAUAUUAAUGGUUGUA